rnacentral:rRNA from 1 species
GGCCUUUAGCACAACAAGUAUUAAAGGUCCCGCCUGCCCAGUGACUCACUUUUAACGGCCGCGGUACUCUAACCGUGCAAAGGUAGCGUAAUCACUUGCCCCUUAAAUAGGGGCUCGUAUGAAUGGCUAGAUGAGGGCUCAACUGUCUCCUAAGACACCCCAAUGAACCUGCUCUCCCAGUACAAAAGCUGGAAUAACCCCAUAAGACGAGAAGACCCUGUGGAGCUUUUAAACACACUAUCAAGCUUCCCCGGCCCGUGAUAACAACUUUAAGUUGGGGCGACUACGGAGAAAUACAGAACCUCCACGAAAUAAACUAAAACCUGCCCCAGGCUAACAUACCAAAGGCACCCAGCCCUCUGACCCAGUAUAACUGAACACCGGACCAAGUUACCCCAGGGAUAACAGCGCCAUCCCCCUCAAGAGUCCCUAUCGCCAGGGGGGUUUACGACCUCGAUGUUGGAUCAGGACACCCCGGUGGUGUAGCCGCUGCCAAAGGUUCGUUUGUUCAACGACUAAUGUCCUACGUG